rnacentral:rRNA from 1 species
UACAGAGGGUGCGAGCGUUAAUCGGAAUUACUGGGCGUAAAGGGUGCGUAGGUGGUUGCAUAAGUUAGGUGUGAAAGUCCUGGCUUAACCUGGGGACUGCGCCUAAGACUGUGUAGCUAGAGUACUGUAGAGGGAGGUGGAAUUUCCAGUGUAGCGGUGAAAUGCGUAGAUAUUGGAAGGAACAUCGGUGGCGAGGCGACCUCCUGGACAGAUAUGACACUGAGGCACGAGAGCAUGGGGAGCAA